rnacentral:tRNA from 1 species
CGGGGCGUAGCUCAGUCUGGUAGUAGCACUCGGUUUGGGUCCGAGAGGUCGCCGGUUCAAAUCCGGCCGCCCCGA